rnacentral:siRNA from 1 species
UCCACAAGCUUGCAGUUGUUGC